CAAUAGCGUAUAUUAAAGUUGUUGCAGUUAAAAAGCUCGUAGUUGGAUUUGUGGUGUGUCCAGUUGGCCUUUGCUCUUUGAGUGAUAGUGCUUUACUGGUCUGCCAUGUUUGGGUGGAAUCUGUGUGGCAUUAAGUUGUCGUGCAGGGGAUGCCCAUCGUUUACUGUGAAAAAAUUAGAGUGUUCAAAGCAGGCUUAUGCCUCUGAAUAUAUUAGCAUGGAAUAAUGAUAUAGGACCUUGGUACUAUUUUGUUGGUUUGCGCACUGAGGUAAUGAUUAAGAGGGACAGUUGGGGGUAUUUGUAUUCCAUUGUCAGAGGUGAAAUUCUUGGAUUUUUGGAAGACAAACUACUGCGAAAGCAUUUACCAAGGAUGUUUUCAUUAAUCAAGAACGAAAGUUAGGGGAUCGAAGAUGAUUAGAU
rnacentral:rRNA from 1 species